rnacentral:rRNA from 1 species
UACGAAGGUCCCGAGCGUUAUCCGGAUUUAUUGGGUUUAAAGGGCGCGUAGGCGGGUGGUCAAGUCCGAGGUGAAAUCCUCCAGCUUAACUGGAGAAGUGCCCCGGAUACUGAUUGUCUCGAGGAGGGUAGGGGCAUCUGGAACUAGCGGUGGAGCGGUGAAAUGCGUUGAUAUCGCUAGGAACUCCAAUGGCGAAGGCAAGGUGCUGGACCCUUUCUGACGCUGAGGCGCGAAAGCCAGGGGAGCGAACGGG